GAAAUGCGAUAAUUAAUGUGAAUUGCAGAAUUCAGUGAGUCAUCGAGUCUUUGAACGCACAUUGCGCCCCCUGGUAUUCCGGGGGGCAUGCCUGUCCGAGCGUCAUUGCUGCCCUCAAGCACGGCUUGUGUGUUGGGCUUCCGUCCCUGGCAACGGGGACGGGCCCAAAAGGCAGUGGCGGCACCAUGUCUGGUCCUCGAGCGUAUGGGGCUUUGUCACCCGCUCCCGUAGGUCCAGCUGGCAGCUAGCCUCGCAACCAAUCUUUUUAACCAGGUUGACCUCGGAUCAGGUAGGGAUACCCGCUGAACUUAAGC
rnacentral:misc_RNA from 1 species